CCUACGGGUGGCAGCAGUGGGGAAUAUUGGACAAUGGGCGAAAGCCUGAUCCAGCCAUGCCGCGUGAGUGAAGAAGGCCCUAGGGUUGUAAAGCUCUUUCACCCGCGAGGAUAAUGACGGUAGCGGGAAAAGAAGCCCCGGCUAACUUCGUGCCAGCAGCCGCGGUAAUACGAAGGGGGCUAGCGUUGUUCGGAAUCACUGGGCGUAAAGCGCACGCAGGCGGAUCGAUCAGUCAGGGGUGAAAUCCCGGGGCUCAACCUCGGAACUGCCUUUGAUACUGUCGAUCUUGAGUCCGGGAGAGGUGAGUGGAAUUCCUAGUGUAGAGGUGAAAUUCGUAGAUAUUAGGAAGAACACCAGUGGCGAAGGCGGCUCACUGGCCCGGUACUGACGCUCAGGUGCGAAAGCGUGGGGAGCAAACAGGAUUAGAUACCCUAGUAGUC
rnacentral:rRNA from 1 species